rnacentral:rRNA from 1 species
UCAGAUUGAACGCUGGCGGCAGGCCUAACACAUGCAAGUCGAGCGGAAACGAUGGAGUGCUUGCACUCCAGGCGUCGAGCGGCGGACGGGUGAGUAAUACUUGGGAAUCUGCCUGAGGGCGGGGGACAACCACUGGAAACGGUGGCUAAUACCGCAUAAUGUCUACGGACCAAAGUGUGGGACCUACGGGCCACACGCCUUCAGAUGAGCCCAAGCGAGAUUAGGUAGUUGGUGGGGUAAAGGCCUACCAAGCCGACGAUCUCUAGCUGGUCUGAGAGGAUGAUCAGCCACACUGGGACUGAGACACGGCCCAGACUCCUACGGGAGGCAGCAGUGGGGAAUAUUGGACAAUGGGGGCAACCCUGAUCCAGCCAUGCCGCGUGUGUGAAGAAGGCCUUCGGGUUGUAAAGCACUUUCAGUGGUGAGGAAGGCGUUGUCGUUAAUAGCGGCGACGAUUGACGUUAGCCACAGAAGAAGCACCGGCUAACUCCGUGCCAGCAGCCGCGGUAAUACGGAGGGUGCGAGCGUUAAUCGGAAUUACUGGGCGUAAAGCGCACGUAGGCGGUUUGCUAAGCAAGAUGUGAAAGCCCAGAGCUCAACUCUGGAAUAGCAUUUUGAACUGGCAGGCUAGAGUUUUGGAGAGGGUGGUAGAAUUU